rnacentral:rRNA from 1 species
AAUCAACGUUGGCGGCGCGCCUAACACAUGCAAGUCGAACGAGAAAGGGGAGCAAUCCCCGAGUAAAGUGGCGUACGGGUGAGUAACACGUGGGUCAUCUACCCUUUGGUGGGGAAUAACGCUGGGAAACCGGCGCUAAUACCGCAUAAUUCCGCAAGGACAAAGUCGCAAGACGCCGGAGGAUGAGCCCGCGGCUGAUUAGCUAGUUGGUGGGGUAACUGCCCACCAAGGCAAAGAUCGGUAGCCGGCCUGAGAGGGCACACGGCCACACUGGCACUGAAACACGGGCCAGACUCCUACGGGAGGCAGCAGUGGGGAAUCUUGCACAAUGAGGGAAACCCUGAUGCAGCGACGCCGCGUGAGCGAUGAAGCCCUUCGGGUGUAAAGCUCUUUCGACAGGAACGAUAAUGACGGUACCUGGAGAAGAAG